rnacentral:pre_miRNA from 1 species
AAGGUACUCCCUCCGUUCGGAAUUACUUGUCGUAGAAAUAAAUGUAUCUAGACAUUUUUUAGUUCUAGAUACAUCCAUUUCUGCGACAAAUAAUUUGAAACAGAGGGAGUAGAUA